rnacentral:rRNA from 1 species
GUGUCAGCAGCCGCGGUAAUACGUAGGGGGCGAGCGUUGUCCGGAUUCAUUGGGCGUAAAGAGCUCGUAGGCGGCUUGCUAAGUCGGGUGUGAAACCCCCAGGCUCAACCUGGGGCCGCCACCUGAUACUGGUAUGGCUGGAGUCCGGUAGGGGACCAUGGAAUUCCUGGUGUAGCGGUGAAAUGCGCAGAUAUCAGGAGGAACACCGAUGGCGAAGGCAGUGGUCUGGGCCGGUACUGACGCUGAGGAGCGAAAGCGUGGGGAGCGAACAGGAUUAGAAACCCUGGUAGUCC